rnacentral:rRNA from 1 species
UGGCGGCGUGCUACACCUGCAAGUUAGCGGUACAGGUGUAGCAAUACAUGCUGACGAGCGGCGAACGGGUGAGCAAUGCUUCGGAAUCUGCCCAAUGAUGGGGAAUAACCAGUCGAAAGAUUGGCUAAUACCGCAUAAGCCCUUCGGGGGAAAGCGGGGGUCGCAAGACCUCGCGUCGAUGGAUGAGCCGAAGUCGGAUUAGCUAGUUGGUAGGGUAACGGCCUACCAAGGCGACGAUCCGUAGCUGGUCUGAGAGGACGACCAGCCACACUGGGACUGAGACACGGCCCAGACUCCUACGGGAGGCAGCAGUGGGGAAUAUUGGACAAUGGGGGCAACCCUGAUCCAGCGACGCCGCGUGUGUGAAGAAGGCCUGCGGGUUGUAAAGCACUUUUAGUGGGGAUGAAAAGUACAUCGCUAAUACCGGUGUAUCUUGACCUAACCCAAAGAAAAAGCACCGGUAACUCUGUGCCAGCAGCCGCGGUAAUACAGAGGGUGCGAGCGUUAAUCGGAAUUACUGGGCGUAAGCGUGCGUAGACGGUUAUUUAAGUCCGGGGUGUGAAAGCCCCGGGUUCAACCUGGGAAUUUGCAUUUCGAGACUGGAAUAGGCUAAGGGUACGGGAGAGGGAAGCGGAAUUUCCGGGUGUUAGCGGGUGAAAUGCGGUAAGAUAUCGGGAAGGGACCAUCAGUGGGAAAGCGGUUUCCUGGGACCAGUACCGACGUUCAGGCGCGAAAGCGUGGGGGGAGCAAACCAGGGA